GUCAUCUCUCUGGGACUGUCCUGCCAAACCCUGGGGUGAGAGCAACUGUGACCAUAAGGAAGAUGUUGGAGUGAAUUGCUCAGGUGUGACAGAGACGACAGCAUCACUGAGUAGAACAGCUCCCCCACGCCGUCCUCUGACUGAUAGUGGGAGAGUCACGGUGCCCGUGGUCAUCUGCAUUAUCCUGGGAGCCCUGCUCUGCCUGAUCUUAAUCAUCCU